GAUGAACGCUGGCGGCGGGCCUAACACAUGCAAGUCGAGCGGCAGCGUGUUUUACACUUGAUUCUGUAAGCUUCUAGUGGAAAGAGAAGAUUUAUUCAAUAAUUUUGUUUAAAAUGUCUGCGAGCUACGGACGGCUGAGUAACGCUUGGGAACGUACGCCAAAGAUUUGGGUAUCGCUUCGAUAUGUGUGCUAAUACCUCAUAUGUGCGUCUGAUUAAAGCCUUCGGGUGCUUUGGGAACGGCCUGCGUAAGAUUAGGUAGUUAGUGGGGUAAUGGCCUACCAAGUCGACGAUCUGUACCUGGUAUGAGAGGAUGAUCAGUCAGACUGGAACUGAGACACGGUGCAGACUCCUACGGGAGGCAGCAGUGAGGAAUCUUCAACAAUGAGCGAACGCCAGAUGGAACAACGCCGCGUGUAGGAUGAAGCCCUUCGAGUUGUAAAAUGCUUUUAUAAGUGAGGAUUAUGACAGUACCUUAUGAAUAAGGAUCGGCUAACUACGUG
rnacentral:rRNA from 1 species